CCCUUAGAUGUUCUGGGCCGCACGCGUGCUACACUGAGUGGAUCAGCGGGUCAGGUUGCACGAAAGUGUUUCCUAAUCUUGAAAUCCGCUCGUGAUGGGGAUUGACGGUUGCAAUUUUCCGUCAUGAACGAGGAAUACCUUGUAAGCGCGGGUCAUCAUCCCGCGCUGAAUACGUCCCUGCCCUUUGUACACACCGCCCGUCGCUCCUACCGAUUGAGUGGUCCGGUGAGGCUUUGGGAUCUGAGCAAAAAGAGCGUUUCGCUCGUUUGGCUCGGAAAACUCAGUCGAACCUUAUCAUUUAGAGGAAGGAGAAGUCGUAACA
rnacentral:rRNA from 1 species